rnacentral:lncRNA from 1 species
CAUGUUAUCAGGGCUUCGAACAACGAAGUGUGCAGUGCCCAGCCCAGCAUACAAUAUAAAUACAGUGCUCAGCCUUGCCAUCUCCCACUGAGCGUGCCAGACCAGAAACAACUCCGCAACAGAGCGAGUAAAGACGCAAAGAUGAAGGUGUUGUACGUGGCCACUUUCCUCAUCGGACUCCUCUCCCUGGAGAGCACCAGAGCAGCUCCGUUGAAAAAAAACCAAUUCUGGUCAGUGGGCUCCGGUAACAUAAAGACUGGCAACGUGGGCAACGACAGCUUUAAUGACAACAGCAAAAAUAACCUAUUCUCGGCAGUGGGCUCCUGUAGGAUAAAGAUCGGUAAUGUGGGUGAUGGCAGUUUUGACAACAACAAUAAAAACAACCAAUUCUGGUCAGUGGGCUCUGGUAGCGUACAGAUCGGAAAUGUGGGCAAUGGCAGAUUAAACGACAACAACCAAAACAAACAAUUCUGGGCUGUGUGCUCCGGUAGCGUAAACUCCGGCAACGUGAGCGAUGGCAUCUUUGACAUCAGCGUAAGUACCAGAGCUUACCUCUCUAUGCCAUGUAGCUUCACACAAAUCAGGUGAACG